AAAAAAUACAGAAAUGAAUAUUAAAAAAUUGCUGUUGAUAGAGGCAUAAGAAUAGCUGAAAUUAUUUUAAAGAACUGCUGAAAAUACAGGAAGUGGGGGAGCUGAAUUUCAAUAGAUUUUCUAAAAACAGAAGUUGCAGGAAGCUUAAAUUUGUUUAAAAUUGUUUGUAGUAAUAUUAGUACUAGUAUUAGUUAUAAUUGUGGUAUUAGUAGUACUAGCAGUAUAAGCAGUAAUAGUAGGUUUAGUAUCAAUAGCAGUAGAAACAGCUGUAAUACUAUUAGCCAUAGUAGUAUUUGUAAUAACAUUAGUAGUAGUUGUAGUAUUAAUAGCAGUAGAAAUACUAGUAGUAUGGUAGUAGAAGUAUCAGUUGUAGUACUAGAAGUACGAGUAAUAUUCGUAGUGGGAGACAGAAUGUUUGUUAUUCACACUUAAAAGUUUUUAAUUAAUAGGCCUCAUCACAGACAUUACAGUAAAAAUUCCCUCCAUGGGGCUUUUAUUUUGAAAUGAUUGGAUUGGGUGGGGUGGGGGGGUGUAGAUAGAGGGAGGGAGGCUGAGAGGGUGAGGAAGGGAAUGGUGGUGAGGAAGAGAUAGAGGGAGAGAGAGAGAGAGGAGAGAUAGACAGACAUACUGACUGAGAGUGAUUAACAGUGAGAAGGGGUCAGGGUGGAGUGGGGAGGGGGGGCGAGUGUCUUUAUCAUAUUGGUCUGUUGACAGAAAGCAUAGCUGCGUCAUGUGACUCCACUAAUCAGGUCAUAGGAGCAGCUUUGAGCCACAGACAGAGAUCCUGCAGCGUGUGAGCGAGUAACCACGACAACGGCGCACCUAUUGGAUUGGGUGGGGUGGGGGGGUGUAGAUAGAGGGAGGGAGGGUGAGAGGGUGAGGAAUGGAGGGGUGGUGAGGAAGAGAUAGAGAGGGAGAGGGGAGGAGAAUUAGACAGACUGACUGACUGAGAGUGAUUAACAGUGAGAAGAGGUCAGGGUGGAGGGGGGAGGGGGGGCGAGUGUCUUUAUCAUAUUGGUCUGUUGACAGAAAGCAUAGCUGCGUCAUGUGACUCCACUAAUCAGGUCAUAGGAGCGAGCAGCUGUGAGUCACAGACAGAUCCUGCAGCAUGUGAGCGAGUAACCACGACAACGGCGCACCUGUGCUCAUUAACGAUCUGCUGCAAAAGACAGAGACAUGGCAGCAAGUUACACAGAAUCCACACCUCACACAAAUGAGAACCAGCGCAAAACUAUAACAGCUAUCUAAAAAAUACGG
ensembl:lncRNA